rnacentral:rRNA from 1 species
CCUACGGGUGGCAGCAGUAGGGAAUCUUCCACAAUGGGCGAAAGCCUGAUGGAGCAACGCCGCGUGGGUGAAGAAGGUCUUCGGAUCGUAAAACCCUGUUGUUAGAGAAGCAAGUGCGUGAGAGUAACUGUUCACGUUUCGAUGGUAUCUAACCAGAACGCCACGGCUAACUACGUGCCAGCAGCCGCGGUAAAACGUAGGUGGCAAGCGUUAUCCGGAUUUAUUGGGCGUAAAGGGAACGCAGGCGGUCUUUUAAGUCUGAUGUGAAAGCCUUCGGCUUAACCUGAGUAGUGCAUUGGAAACUGGGAGACUAGAGUGCAGAAGAGGAUGGUGGAAUGCCAGGUGUAGCGGUGGAAUGCGUAGAUAUAUGGAAGAACACCAGUGGCGAAAGCGGCUCUCUGGUCUGUAACUGACGCUGAGGUUCGAAAGCGUGGGUAGCAAACAGGAUUAGAUACCCGUGUAGUC